UUUGUGUCAAAAGACAACUGCUUCAUACCAGUACUGAAUACAAAGAUUAAUGGUAAAACCUACUGCUGAAAACUGCUAGCUAGAAAACAGGAGACAAUAACUCCUACUCAAGCACGAUGCAAACAAAUAACUACUACGAAAAAAAACUAACUCUACCACCCACUAAACUUAUUUAAUCAGCUCCUAUAAAAUCUCUACGGCUAACAUGUUUGAAAUUAUUACCAACAGUCUCCCCCCAUAAUUUCAAACAUAUAUCAGCCCAGAACUUUGAUACCCAGCAAGUUCCUCAUUCUCUCAAACUUCACAGCAAACAAAGCUUUAGUUAACAGAUCCGCCUUCUGAUUCUCACUGCUAAUAUGCUUGACAACGACUUCCCCACGUUCAAUACACUCCCGAAUGAAAUGGUACCUAAAUCAAUAUGUUUGCUCCUCCCGUGAAAAACAGAAUUUUUCGCCAAGUCUAUAGCAGACUUAUUAUCGAUAUAGAUUAGAACAGGAGGCACUUGUUCACACGCAGCAGCUGUGGCCGCCAUAAACUCCGCUUCACAGGAUGAUAACGCAACACACCGCUGUUUGUGGGAGACCCAAGUGACUAGACAUUCGUUUAGAUAAAACACCAUUCCCCCAGUGGAUUUUCUGUCUUCAAUAUGUCUUGCAAGAUCACUAUCAGAGUAACCUGUCAAAAGGUUAUUGCCAGCAUCCUUUGUAUAGAUUAAACCAUACUCCAACGUGCCUUUUAUAUACCGUAAAAUUCUCUUAGCUGCAUUCAAGUGUAUAGUGGUUGGUCUUUCCAUGUAUCGACUCACAAUGCCUACUGAAAAAGCUAUAUCUGGUCUGGUAUGUACCAGGUACCUCAGUCCUCCCACUAUACUCUUAAACUCUGUUGCAUCUACAGCUCUUCCACCUUCAUCUUUUGUUAAUCUUUCUUUUGGAUCCAUUGGAAAUUUACAAGGAUUGCAUUGAGACAUUCCAGCCCUUUCAAGUACUUUCUUCGCGUAGCCUGACUGUUUAAGCUCAAUAAACCCAGCACCCUGCUUGACUUCUAUUCCCAAAUAAUAACUUAACUUCCCCAUAUCAGUCAUUUCAAAUAUAUUGCUCAUCUGCUCCUUGAAGCUUCGAAUAAAAGACACAUCAGUACCCGUGAUUAGUAAAUCAUCCACGUAUACACCAACUAUUAUUGAUUCUCUUCCCUCCCGUUUUACAUAAACGGCAUGUUCAUAGGGACAUCUCACGAACCCAAGACUUUCAAGACACUUGUUGAGUUUCGAAUACCAAGCUCGAGGAGCUUGUUUGAGACCAUACAAGGCUUUGAGAAGCUUAUACACUCGCUUUUCUUGCCCCUUUUUCACAAACCCCUCCGGUUGAGUCACAUAUACUGUUGGAAACGUGAAUGGGCUUACCUCAAAUUCUUUAUCUCAAAACACAGUGUGUGUGUAUGGUGUGUACUGUAUUAGGUAAUCUUGAUAUUAAAACAAACAAACAAAGCACGCUUAUAUAUAUAUUGUUAAGACAUCUACAGCUUUUCCUUACAUAGGCUACAGCCUUUUCUCUUUUCACUCACAGAUAUAGAGCUUCAGCUCUCUGUAUUCUCUCUACUGAUUUUCUCACUCCAUAUUUUCACUCGGUGUGUAUUACAAUCUUGCUGGGUGUCCUAUUUAUAGGCUAUAUUGUACGUGUCGUUGCUUAUCUCAAUUUGCUAGCUGCUGCUCUUAAUACAUACGCGUAUAGCCACCUUAAUUUUAGGCUUUGAACAAAGACCAGAGAGAGCUGCUGCAUCUCACAGUAAUUUAUUACACACGCUUUUACCACGUACCUCGCAUGCUGAUAGCCUACCAUAUAUCCUGGAUGCAACAGAUGACCAGUUGCCAUUCUUGACUUCCACAAGCUGCUUCAAUUACUUCUCCUUCAUUCUUAUAUAUCUGUAUAUAUAUAUUAUGGUUUAAUUUUCCCAUGCACGUACAUCUGUUGUUUUAAUCCUGCUAGCUGUAUUUUACUAGAUUGCUGCUUGCUUCCAUUUAUAUCCCAGAAGACCUGGAAUCCAUUCUGCUGCAUUUACCUUUGCUGCAUGCUUAUUUCAAACCCAUUUGUUAUAAUUAAUAUAUUGCUAGCUGGAGAGCUUGAAAUUCUAACACUCCCCCUCAAACUCGACUUUGCAUUCCGAGCUUUUCUUUCAUUUUCUGAAACACUUCCGGCUUCAAUGACUUCGUAAAAAUAUCUGCUAAAUUUUCUUCCGUCCUGCAGUGUACCAACUCUACAAUUUUAUCAUUCACUUGUUCUCGAAGAAAAUGAUAUUUAAUAUUGAUGUGCUUGCUGCGACUGUGUAACACCGGAUUUUUCGCAAGUGAAAUUGCGGAUUUGUUGUCCACGAAAAUAGUAACCGGUUCUUCCUUGGCAAGAUUUAACUCGCCCAAUAUAUAGCUUAACCAAAUAGCUUGACAUGUUGUUCCUGCUGCUGCAAUAUAUUCUGCCUCACCUGUUGAGAGAGCGACUGUCUGUUGCUUCUUUGAUGACCAUGAGAAUAUCGCCGAGCCAAUAUGAAAAGCAUAUCCCGAUGUGCUUUUCCCGUCACCCAAAUCUCCACCAUAAUCACUGUCUGAGUAGCCAACUAAUUUUGAAUCUUGAGAAUUGAUGUAAAAUAAUCCAUUAUUUAGUGUACCUUUAAUAUAUCUCAAAAUUCUUUUAGCCGCCAUGAAAUGAUCUUGCUUCGGCUUCUCCAUGUACCUACUAACCAAUCCGACUGCAUACAUGAUAUCCGGACGAGUGAAAGUUAGGUACCUCAGACUUCCAACCAAACUUUUAAAUAAUGUCGGAUUUACCGACUCUCUUGUUGAAUCAAUUCUGAGCUUUAUGCUUGCUUCUGCUGGCGUGCUCACUGGCUUGCAUUCUUCCAUUCUGAAUUUCUUUAAAAUCUGCUCGGCAUAUUUUUUCUGAGACAUAAAAAUCCCAUCUUUGCUUUGCUUCACCUCGACUCCAAGAAAGUAUGACAUUUGACCAAUAUCUGUCAUCUCAAAUUCAUUAGUCAUAACUUUCUUAAAAUCAUCAAACAUACCAGGAUUGUUUCCGGUAAAUAUCAUGUCAUCCACGUAUAAGCAAACGAUCAUAAUAUCUCCCCCUGAAUUUGUUUUCGUGUAGAGUGCAUGCUCAUAUGGACUCUUCACAAAACCAUUCUUCUUAAAAUACUCAUCAACCCUUGUGUUCCAUGCUCUCGGGGCUUGCUUUAACCCGUAUAGUGCUUUCUUCAGUUUGCAGAUGAAAGGAUAUCUUCGAUAUACAAUUAUUUAUAUAUUUGUUUUGGUAUUUGUGACAAACAUUAAAUUUAAAUUCACUUAGUAAUCCUCCCAAUAGGUCAUUGAUUAAAUUGAUUAAUCAAAGGUGGAUAGUUAUUUUUGGCAAGUGUUUUAAAACUCAUUUUUACUAAAAUACAUAUGUUUUCAAAAAGAAUUUUCUUUAUGCAAUAGUCGUGCUGAGGAGUUUCGGUAUUAUCGAUUGCCUCUUUCUUCCUAUUGCAACAUCAAAAUACAUGAGCUAGGAUGAAGUAUCAUCUACAUAUGAUAUUCUUUAAAUAUCUCAUGUAACAUUAUUUUUCAAAAUAUAUUUUAGGUAAUUUAUUCCUUAUUCAAAUAUUUAUUAUCUUUCGGAAUAAAUUAUUUUAGAUCCUUCAUUUUUCAAAAGUCUUAUUUUUCUCAAGAAUGAUUUAUAUUCUCCAUAUUAAUAUUUAUCUCAAAAAUAUUAAUUUCAAAUUUUAUCUCAUUUUGGGAUAUUUUUCUCGGUCUCUCAAAUUCAUUGUUUUUCAAAGAAAAAUAUUUCUGAUACUUAGAAAGCUCUUUCAACUUAUCAAAAUCAUUAUUUAUCAUGAACAAUAUUUUUCUAAGUAUUUUGGCAUAAAAACUUUCGUGAAAAAGUCUAAAUGAUUUGACUAAAACACGAACUGUAUCGGUUUUUCAAAUAUCGGUAUUCGUUAAGAAAAUUGAUUUAAAUACUCUAAAAUAUUUCCCCAUAUUCAAAAGUAUUUUAUAUUUAAGGUAAUAUAUUUUAAGUAUUUAAUCAAGUCUUAACUUUGGUCAAAAACUCUCUUCAAAAUCUCAAAAGAAUUUUCAUUCGUUAUUUGGACCCGAAAAACAUUUUAUUCGUUUUAAUUCCAAAUAAAAUACUUCCACUUGUCCAAAUGACUUGAAACUUGAGAUUAGCCAGUUAUAUAUUUUUCUUAGUGCAUGGUUAAAUUUUCAUAAUUUUUCGAGGACUUUCGUUCCGGAGCGUUUUUCUAUCUGUCGUCUCGAUCUUCCACCGAACGUUUGACCAAGCUAGAGUUGACCAAAAAUUACCAAACUUGGCAGGAUACCAUUUUCCAAUAUUCUAAGAUUUAUCAUAUUUUUUCCGGAAUUUAUUGAGCACGUUCCGAAAAUCGUAAUAUUUCAUGUAACGGAAUUUAACCGUUUUCUCGAUAUGCGUGCCAAUCAUCCACAAGCCUUAUGCAUUGAAAUGUGUGCCAAUAAAUGCAGGUCAACUAGACCAUUUAAUGCAUUGGAAAGCAUGGGGGACAAGUAUGACAAGCAUGAGCACAAGUGGGGACCAUGUAACUUUAAUUUGAAUUUAUUCCUUUUUAAUUCAAAUACUUCCACCCAUCUUUGCCUAUAAAUACAAGGCUCCCCCAAUUCAUUCUUCACAAGCUAGCAAGCAACAAAGUGCUGAGAUUUUGCAAGUAGAAGCUCUCUCCAAAUUUAUACAAACACAUUUCUCAUCUACUUCAUCUUUAAAACCUCCGUUCCGAUCGGUAUAUUCGUAUAUUCUCGAGGUUUUAAACACCGAGGCUUUGCUCCACCCAACCAAGCCCCGCACCACUUUGCUUGUUCACAAACCACUCUUUUCGACCUCCCGAAGGGCUGUCCGAAGUUCGUCCAUAAGCCAAAUUCCUACCGAACCUCCGACGAAUUUUUCCGGCGAACUUUUUGCGAAAAUCGUGUAAGUGGUUUCUUUAGCUUCGUCUUAUCCGAGUCUUAACCGACCAAAUUUAAAAGAGCUAUCAAGCCAAAUUUCUCUUCAUCUCAAAGCUCUCUUUUUCUUUAACAAUACAAAAGCACAAGAGUUGGUCGCUCGUAUUAUUUAUAAUAUACCUACGUGUGCGUGUGUGUGUUAUACCCUCUCUUGUUGACGUGAAGAUUCUCAUACGUGCUGAGCUUUCGUGAGAAUAUUUGCUUAAACGAGUUUAGUGGUGGUCCUCACCUUAGUGAGUUGAUUNNNNNNNNNNNNNNNNNNNNNNNNNNNNNNNNNNNNNNNNNNNNNNNNNNNNNNNNNNNNNNNNNNNNNNNNNNNNNNNNNNNNNNNNNNNNNNNNNNNNNNNNNNNNNNNNNNNNNNNNNNNNNNNNNNNNNNNNNNNNNNNNNNNNNNNNNNNNNNNNAGUCAAGAACUCACUCUCUUGAUAUUUAUAUUUAAAGAGGGGUUAUCUUGAAACGAAGUUGUAAAAUAAAACACUUCGUAAUAUUCACUUCGAAGGUUAUCAUACCCGAAGUAUUUCAUAUACUUAGUCAAAGACAAGUAUAUUCGUCCAUAUAGCCAAAAGAGCUUAAAAGGACGUUAUUUUAUCUACAAACUCCAAGACACUCGAAUAUCAUUUAUUUGAAGGAUUUUGUACUAUAAACGUAUUCUUCGAUUAUAAAGACAAAGCUAUCAAAAAAGAAUACUCUCAAGGUCUUAAGCUUUAUAAAAGCUUAAAGAACACUUGAUCUUUAAUAUUCUAAGACCAAGAAUAUUAUUGAAACACUCGGACUAGUGAAUCUUGUCCAAAACUCUUUUUAUAACCAAGGUUGUCUUUUGUAGAUAUUGUUUUCUAGAUUUUGCAGUGAGGUGAAGUGAAGUGAGGUGAUCUUCGUUCUAAGACCCAAGUCCUAGACGAGCUAACGGGGAGUUAGUCGUCUUCGCACCGUGAGGAAGAGGAAAGACCCAAGACCUAAGACCUAAGAUCCAAGACCCGCUUAAGGCUAGAAGAACAAAGACUACACACUUGAAAGAUACAACGAUUUUGAGGAGGUGACGGAGAGUUACGCUCCAAGACAAGUCUUGUAAUUUACAUUUAUAGUGAGGAGGUAACGGGAAGUUAUGCACCAAGAUAUAUAUUUGUAAAGGCUUCUCCGCCUACUGUAAAGGAGUUUCUUUAUAGUAGAGAAAAUCUCGAGUCCGGGGAGGAGCUCGGGGACUGGAGUUGGGGUGAGUGGACUCCAAGGGUUGAGUUAGCCACCGCGAACCAGGAUAAAAUCGCUCGUGUGGUGAUUAGUCCAUAUUUUUGCAUAUUUAAGUGCCUAUUUUUUGUUUAUUUUCGUAGUAUUAUUCGCUUAUUUAUUUUAUUUCAGGAAAUUGUAGAUAAAUAAAGAAAGAAGAGAAAAUGCAAGAAAAAGAAGAAACGGAAAAGAAAAGAAGAAAAAGAAAAAGGGUUGGCAAGUAAAGGACACAUGGAUGGCCACAAUUCUCCCAACACUCAAGGCACAUGGAUGGUCAAGAUUGAGCCACCCUACCCCUAAACCCUAAUUCUUUAGUUAUAAAUACCCCCUUAUCUUUGCUUGUAAAAGAACCUAGCUACCUACCCACCUUUUCUACCUAGUCAUUUCCAUAGUUAGUAUCUUAGAUAGAUUUACAUUUUGCUAGCCCCA
rnacentral:lncRNA from 1 species